rnacentral:rRNA from 1 species
GAUGAACGCUGGCGGCGUGCCUAAUACAUGCAAGUCGAGCGAACAGACGAGGAGCUUGCUCCUCUGACGUUAGCGGCGGACGGGUGAGUAACACGUGGAUAACCUACCUAUAAGACUGGGAUAACUUCGGGAAACCGGAUCUAAUACCGGAUAAUAUAUUGAACCGCAUGGUUCAAUAGUGAAAGACGGUUUUGCUGUCACUUAUAGAUGGAUCCGCGCCGCAUUAGCUAGUUGGUAAGGUAACGGCUUACCAAGGCAACGAUGCGUAGCCGACCUGAGAGGGUGAUCAGCCACACUGGAACUGAGACACGGUCCAGACUCCUACGGGAGGCAGCAGUAGGGAAUCUUCCGCAAUGGGCGAAAGCCUGACGGAGCAACGCCGCGUGAGUGAUGAAGGUCUUCGGAUCGUAAAACUCUGUUAUUAGGGAAGAACAAAUGUGUAAGUAACUAUGCACGUCUUGACGGUACCUAAUCAGAAAGCCACGGCUAACUACGUG